UGACCUUUGAACCUAAACAGAUCUGUUGUCAUGUGAUCAGUCUUACCAAGUCACAUGCACUUUUGAACUCUGUACCCAAGAAAAUAAUCAAGAUCAUAAACCCAAUCUGGUUGCCCUUUUUUCUUCCUCGGAGCUCCAUAUUGAUAUGGGAGGUACCAAGCACUUUGAGUACCCUAAGUAUGUGUGGUCUCCUGCUGGUGGCUGGUGGUGUAACCCUCGACACUGGAAGAGAAACACAGCGAUAGCUUUUGCAAUAUCUGGAGCUCUUGCUGGGGUCAUGUGGUACAUCUCAGCACAGUUAGAGCGAAGACCUAUACCUCCAUACCGACACAUACCGUCACAGAGGUGGUGCAAGCAUGCAAAGGAAGAUGACCCAAGAUUAAGAGACUAACUGUGUACUUCUUAGGCUAUCUUCACUAUUGCCAUGUACGUAGACUUUGUUUUGUACAUGUAUGAGUAUUUCAGUAUAGCUAUACUUUGUGCAACUUUGUUUCAUCUAAUAUGCAAUAUUAAUAGCUGUUACCAGUUUCUUUUAUUUGCUCCAAA